rnacentral:tRNA from 1 species
AAGAUACUAGUAAAACCGCCAUUACACUGCUUUGUCAGGGCAGAAUUGCGGGUUAAAGCCCCGCGUAUUUUA